GCUCCGGCUGGGAAAGGGCCGCCCCCGCCGGGAGAGGGCCGCUCCGAACGGGACAGGGCCACUCCGGCCGGGACAGGGCCGCCCCCGCGCCUCCCUCAGGGAGCGGACCCUCAAAUCACCGAGGGAAAGCUGCUGCUUCUGCCCAGCCUGGGGAGGAGAAGGUUCCGGGCAGAUCUUAUAGCGCCCACCAGUGUCUAAAAGCAGGACCGAGCACAGCGUUUUAUAGCACAGGAAAAAAACCGAUCCUGGAGAAAUGUGAGAUGUGAUUUCCAUAGAGACUUCACGAUUUCAGAUGAAAAGAAUUCAGUGUCCAAACUGUGAGGAUUUCAAAGAGCUGGCAAGGUCUGAGUUACAAUUUCCACAGCAGCAGCGACUUGGCUCCUUUGCAGACAGAGCAGGCGAGCACAGGGGGCCACUAAUGACAGCAGGAUGAUCCUGGACAGCAAGUGUUCAACAGUUUACCAGCCUGGGAACACGGUGAAGGCCAGAGGCAUCAGCACUCUGAAGACGAAGAAAAGCUUCCUGCAAAAGUUCAGUGCAAUGCUAACAGCCUCUUUCUGUUUAAAAAGAAUGAACAUCAAGCAUCAGGAUGAGGGACUAUAGUCUGAUCCAGAUCAUCAUUUCCAAGAUGGUUUUGCACCUCUUGAAACUCCCAGCUUCCUGGAAGCCUCUCAGACAUGCUCUCCCUAUAUGGGCCCAGCUCACCCAGAGCUCAGAUAGACAGGCCUGGUGCUGUUGCUGGGCCCAUUCAGAAUUGUACCUCACCAUCCUUUUGAUCAUAACCCUAGUGUGCUGUUAACAUCAAGGUCAAAAGCCAUGUGCAAGUAAUUAUUUUUGAAACUGAAUACAUCUAAAUCCAUGGUGUAAAACCCACUGACAUACAAUAGCCCCAGAAUCACUUCAGCAGCAGAUGUUACAGAUGGAAAACAACCACAUGAGUAGUUUAGCUCAUUUUCCUGUUGUUGCAGGUAUCUUUUUGUCAAUCAGUAGAUUUGCUAAGGCACUGCCCAAGCUAAUUUUUAAUAGCUCAGUGAGGACUAGCAGAAGCCUCUGGGCAGCUGCUCCUCACUCUUUCUGAUGUACCAGAUUAGAGAAGUCUAAACUAUCAAUUCUGUCUUGUCAUCUGUGUGUGUGUUAUCACUUAAUUUUGCCUUCUACAAUCUCUCAUUGGAUUUUGUAAUUUUCUGUGCAAAUAACAGGCCUUUAUAGAGUUUUUUUGCACUCCACUAGCAAACGACUAUUUUGCACAACAGCUCAUCAUUUUUAGCAGAAGUUGCUUUUUAGGUCUCACUCAUCUUAGCCUUUCAUCUUUAUUUUUGGCCUGCAGAAAAAAAAUAUUUUCCAGCAAAGUUAGUAAUGCAAAUUAUUCAACUUGCAUUAACACAUACUUCAUAAUCUUUCUGCCUUUACAGCUUCUGCUGGCAAUAGAAAUAAAUUACAGCUGCUAGAUUAUAGUGUUAUUCUUUCUCUAUCUGAGUUGGGGAAAAAUGAUUCAUUUUCUCUCUUUCUUAGCAAAAGAGGACAGUCUGUUCAGUGAAGCAAAACUUAUUAGAGCUAAAAUUAACUGCAGGAAAUACAAUCCAUAAUUAAGCCAGGUUACUUAGUGCCACAGAUGCAGUAUGAAGAGUAUUCCAACUAUAUUAGCAUCACAGGAAAAUGGGGACAUCACUCAGUUUUUGGAAUGCCAAUUGCCACACAAACUUGGCCCAGAAUCAGUAAAGGCUAUGAGACAUUGAAUCUGCACAUUAAGGCAGAAGAAAUGUACUUUUAAAAAAAGCUGAUAAACGUCUACACUGUAAAUACAGUUGCAAGGAAAAAGCAGCAUUUUAACUAGGCCAAUAAAUGGGUUCUGAUUAGAAAUUAAGUGGUGCUCCUACAGAAUUCAGCUAUUUCUCAGUAAUUAGGACAUUCCUUAAUGAAGUGGACUGUGGUGUAAAGCAAGCAAUUCGGGGCUGUAUGCUUAUUUAUCUGAUUCAACUUCAUUAGCUAAAUGUCAGUGUUUUUGCCAGCAGCCUAUGCUGCAGCCAUCAGAGCGGUGACGAGUCCUGCUUCUCUGGCUGCAAACAAGGAACAGACUGGGGCAGUG